UGAUGGCUCUUCGGCAGAGGUGAUAAUGUUAUAGAACAAUUUAAUACAUUUAUUCCAUUAUUCCUCCAAGCUCAGUGUCUCUUUAAUAACAAAUCCAUUGGACCCAUCACUGCUGUUCAGUUUGGGAAUAUUGAAAGUAAUGUUCAGACGGGUGCUGUGUUGCCAUUUAGGAUGUUAGUAGUACAUGUCAGACGUGAUGGUUUAGAAAGGUUAGCAAUCCCUGUUCCCUGGUUCUCC